ACUUGCAUGGCAAAGGACUGGAGUAGAAAAUAGAAGUCUACUAGACUUUUCAUUCAAGAAUGUAAAAUUCACCGAAGCCUAAAAAUCUGUAAGUUUGAGCCCAAUGUAUGUUUAACACUAGUGCUAUUAAGAUAGAAGAGAGCCACUUCAAACACAGUAAGUGAGAGCAGCAGACCUGACGAGGUUGGGAUGGAGUGCAAUUGUUCCAAGCAGACUGGCUGGAACCAGAUCUAGGAAGGAGCAUGCUGCUUCCCAAAAGUCAGUGUUGAGCACCAGUGAAGAGACAAGAAUAUCAUCCAAGAUCAGUUCCUAACAAUAAAGGAAACAGAUCUUCUCUCUCAUGUCCGAAUGCCUCAGUACUAUAAAGCUCCUACCAUUACCAUCAAGAAACUUGGAUGUGCAAGUGGAAUUCUAAAUUGAACCAUAGGAGAAAAUGACCCUCUUAGAUUUGGUAAAAAUAUUUAGAAUUACGGUUUCUUUCAAAGCUGGAAAGCAGAUUUGCAGAAAAGGACCUCAAAUUUCAUAUGGAUACCAAGCUGAACAUAAGCCAAAAACAUGCCCUGGGGACAAAGGAGGCCAACAAUAUCCCAGCUGCAUUAGAAGUGUUGCCAGCAGGUCUCAGGAAGUGAUCCCGCCCCUCUUCCCAGCCCUAGUGAGGCCAGAUCUGGAGAGCUGUGUCCAGUGUUGGGCUCCCAAAUAAUGAAAAACAUGGAGCUCCUGGAGGGGGUCCAGCAGAGUGCAACAAAAAUGAUUAAGGGACUGAAGCAUCUGUCAUAUGAGGGAAGGCUGAGGGAGCUGGGGCUGCUCAGCCUCAAGAAGAAAAGACUCGUGGGUAUCUUAUCAGUGUAUACAAAUAUCUGAAGGAAGGGUGCAAAGAGGAUGGAAACAGGCUCUUUUCAGAGGUGCCCAGUCAGAGGACCAGAGGCAACAGGCACAAACUGAAACACAGGAGGUUCCAUCUGAACAUCAGCAACCACUUUUUCACUGAGCACUGGCACAGGUUGUCCAGAGAAGUUGUGGUGUCUCCAUACUUGGAGAGUUUCAAAAGAUAUCUGGACGCAGUCCUGCGUAACCUGCUUUAGGAGGCCCUUCCUUGAGCAGCAGGUGUGAACAAGAAGAAUUCAAGAGGUGCCUUCCAAGCUCAAUCAUUCCUUUUUUUUUUAAUUUAAUAUCAUAUUUUAAAGCACAGCAAUUUCAAUAAAAUACAAUUUCAUAAAUAUAACCAAUAUGGGUUAAUUUAUGAGAAUUCAUGAUACUUCGAAGCAAGAGUUGUCACUGUGCACAACUGCUAUUUAAACACUUCUGACAAGGGGAAAAAAAAAAGGUGUUCUGAAAAAUCGUGACACACUCUGCUGAGAUUACGCUAUCUUUGCUGGCAUGCAAGUAACAGCUCCAGGCUGAUCUGCAAAUGUGAAACGGUCAUGGAUCAAGGUUCUUUACCUUUGACUGGCACUUUACACACGUACUUUAACCCUUCCAACUUCUGGUGCAAUAUACUUCUGUGUUUGUAGCCUUACCCAAAGAACAUACAUGAAUCACACUUGGCUUUUUAUGGUUCUUAUUAUCCAAAAAGCUUAGCAGAAGAUUUUAUGAUUCUCAGCUAGAGAAGUGCUCAGGAGUACAUAAUACCAGACCAUUUAGCUAAAGUCUGUUUUACUUGCAGAUAGCCUUUUUUGAGUAUUGACUCAAUUUAGAAAAACAAAAUAAUGUCAGUAUCACGAGUGUAUCAGUGCACCGCUGAUGUUAUAAACCCCUUGUUACUAAAGGUUUAGAGAAUGAGUGCCACCAGCACAAAACAUUAAUGACUUGGCUAAAACAAAAGAGAUGCAAAUAUAACACAAGUACUAAAGAAGACAUAUUUUAUAUCAAGAAAACAUAUGACAGCACAUAUUUUUUAACAAAGAGGAUUUGCUCUAAUAGCAGCUACAUGAGGCUCUGCCUAACACGACUAUUACCUUUCUCCUCUCAAAAUUAUACCAGCAAAUCAGAGUAUAUACCAAACUCUUACACUGGUAGAACUCAAAACUUGGCAGAUUUUCUCCUUUAAAAAAAGAGGCAAAAGGUAUUCUUCAGAGUAAACAGCAACCAUACAUGGCUACUAUUCCUAGGAAGUUUAUUUCUGUGAGGAGUUUAGCAAGGAAAGGCAUGUACUUCCAGGGAGAAUUACAUACAAGUGCUGUUACAUUUAGGAUAUUGGUACCUAUACUGAUUUACUGAAGAGCUUUGGAUUUUGCCAAAAAACCUGAAUGAAGCACUACUGCUCAAACAAAAAAAAACACCCCAAAACCAAAAUAACAACAA